UAAGGAAAAUUGAUGAUCGCAGUUAAGUUAUUGACUUUUUUACUUGAAAACAAAAUUGUCAAAAUGUUAACUGAGGAAAGUCCGGGCUCUGGUUUCAAUCUGAAACUAUGUUAUAGAGUAAUUCUCUAUGUGUAACCAUUUAGCACGAGGCUAGUGCCACAGAAAACGAACCGCAAGUUUUAUCUUGUAAGGGUGCAAUGGUGUGGUAAGAGCACACCAGUUUAUUUGUAAGAAUAAAGCUUGGUAUACCCUAACACAGAGCAAACAAAAUUAAGCGAUUUUUUUGGUCGCUUAAUUCUUGGUGCUAGAAUAGUAUUGUAAAAUAUUAUCAAGAUGAAUGAUCAUCGUAAAAAACUCAGAUUUUUUAUUACAAAACCCGGCUUAUUUUCUUCCCUGCUAG
rnacentral:RNase_P_RNA from 1 species